UCCGGUUUGUCACCGGCAGUCACCUUAGAGUGCCCAACUGAAUGCUGGCAACUAAGAUCAAGGGUUGCGCUCGUUGCGGGACUUAACCCAACACCUCACGGCACGAGCUGACGACAGCCAUGCAGCAUCUGUGCACGCUCUCUUGCGAGUCCCUCGGGCUUCCCCUCGGUACCACGUGCAUGUCAAGCCGAGGUAAGGUUCUGCGCGUAGCAUCGAAUUAAGCAACACGCUCCGCUGCUUGUGCGGGCCCCCGUCAAUUCCUUUGAGUUUCAGUCUUGCGACCGUACUCCCCAGGCGGCGAACUUAACGCGUUAGCUUCGAUACUGGGCACCAAGUUGUGCCCAACAUCCAGUUCGCGUCGUUUAGGGCGUGGACUAC
rnacentral:misc_RNA from 1 species